GUCUGUGAGAACUCAUUUAUAGGGUAUCCCAAAAGGUAUUUAAAAUAUUACUUUUUCUUUCUAGUAGUUGACAAUAUGAUUGUGAGCAAUCAUACUGUUUUCUUAAAAACAGUGGAAGGAUGAACUCAAAAAGAAAGUCUCUAAAGAACAACGAGUCACAAGACCUAUACAACCUAUUUAAGAUGAGCCAGUAUAUGUAGUACUUCCUUCACCUCAUCAAUUUAGUAGGAUCUCCUAUCCUUUAGAAAGAUACUCGGUAUUCUUACAAAGGAUUUAGAGAAAGUGUUUCUUGAGGGAGAUUGAGAAUAUAGGGA
rnacentral:lncRNA from 1 species